UUACAGGCCCUUCUCAGGGCCAUUAUAACCAUCAGUAUGGAAAAG
rfam:Meleagris gallopavo isolate NT-WF06-2002-E0010 breed Aviagen turkey brand Nicholas breeding stock chromosome 15, whole genome shotgun sequence.